rnacentral:snRNA from 1 species
GGAUGUGAGGGCGAUCUGGCUGCGACAUCUGUCACCCCAUUGAUCGCCAGGGUUGAUUCGGCUGAUCUGGCUGGCUAGGCGGGUGUCCCCCUCCUCCCUCACCGAUCCAUGUGCGUCCCUCCGGAAGCUGCGCGCUUGGUCGAAGAGGACGACCUCCCCCCACCCCAGGAGAGGACCGGUCUUCGGUCAAGGGUAUACGAGUAGCUGCGCUCCCCUGCUAGAACCUCCAAACAAGCUCUCAAGAAUAUAGGUAUAAUCAAAACAAAAGUUACUAGCUUUUAGGUCAGUUAUUAAUUGAAACCCAGU